AAUUUUGGACAAUGGGCGUAAGCGUGACCCAGCCAUGCCGCGUUAGUGAAGUUGGCAAUCGGGUUGUAAAGCAUUUUCGGACGGAAAGAAAUCGCGCAGGCUAAUACCCUGAGCUGCUGACGGUACCGUCAUUAGAAGCACCCGCUAACUACGUGCCGGCAGCCGCGGUAAUACGUAGGGUGCGAGCGUUAAUCGGAAUUACUGGGCGUAAAGCGUGCGCAGGCGGUUGAUUAAGACAGGCGUGAAAUCCCCGGGCUUAACCUGGGAACUGCGCUUGUGACUGGUCAGCUAGAGUACGGCAGAGGGGGGUGGAAUUCCACGUGUAGCAGUGAAAUGCGUAGAGAUGUGGAGGAACACCGAUGGCGAAGGCAGCCCCCUGGGCCGAUACUGACGCUCAUGCACGAAAGCGUGGGUAGCAAACAGG
rnacentral:rRNA from 1 species